UUUCGAAUCAUUCACAAUGGGCGAAAGCCUGAUGGUGCGACGCCGCGUGAGGGAUGAAGGUCUUCGGAUUGUAAACCUCUGUCACCGGGGAAGAAACGCUUUGAGUUAAUAGUUCAAAGCCUGACUUAACCCGGAGAGGAAGCAGUGGCUAACUCUGUGCCAGCAGCCGCGGUAAUACAGAGACUGCAAGCGUUAUUCGGAUUCACUGGGCGUAAAGGGUGCGCAGGCGGCCAAGUGUGUGAGGCGUGAAAGCCUGGAGCUUAACUCCAGAAUUGCACCUCAAACUACUUGGCUAGAGCAUUGGAGAGGGUAGCAGAAUUCAUGGUGUAGCAGUGAAAUGCGUAGAUAUCAUGAGGAAUACCAGAGGCGAAGGCGGCUACCUGGACAAUUGCUGACGCUCAGGCACGAAAGCGUGGGGAGCAAAAGGG
rnacentral:rRNA from 1 species